UUGACAUUUUAUGCUUAAAAAAUGCACAUGGUGUUAUUUUAUACACAGAAAAUAUACAUUUGAUAAUUAUUCUUAACUUUCAAUUUUGUUCCAAAAAUACCCCCCUCAUUUCAAUUCCCCCCAAUCUCUCUAACUUCCCUCUCUCUCCUCUCUCUCUUCCUUUCUCGGUUUCAAGCUCACCACCGUUCCCCCUUUCGAACCUAACCCUCAUUCUCACCACCGCACCAUUCGAACCACCACACCAUUCGAACCACCACACGCAGUCGACCCACCAACCCAGUCGACCCAGACGAACCCAUUCGACCCCACACGAACAGUGACGACCCACGAGACUUGAACCCCAUGAGACCCACUCCAUCCCAGUCGACCCACGAGAGCCACUCGAUCCCAGUCGAUCCACGAGCCACUCCAUCCGUUCAUCAUCGUCCUCGGCACCGUCGACGAACCAGCUCCUACCCCUACAUUAUAGACGAGCUACCUCUGAGGUUGCACCACAAACGGAGACCAGUGGCGAUGGUGGAGUGUUUGCCAAGGAGUACAUUGAGCACUGCAUGCUGGAGCGAUCGUUAGAGCUAGUUAAUGAUGAUAACAUGCUCACCUUUAGACAUAGGUGGUGUGUAGACUUAUUUUACUAGAACUUGACAUGGUAGUUUUAUGUAAUGUUAUGCCUUGUAUUAUAUUAUAUUAUACUGUGAAAUGUGUAGACUUAAUGAUGAUAAACUUUUACAAUUGUAUUAUAUUAUACUGUGAAAUGUGAAAUUGAUCAAUUGUCGCACAUAUAUCGCAUACAAAUCGCAAAUAUUAUCAAAGUUGAAAUAAUAACUUGCUUAGCUCGCUAAAAAUGUCGCACAUACAUCGCUUAGAAAUCGUAAAAAGUAGACAGUUAGUAUAUUAGGCAUGUUACCAGUGAAAUCGCCAAAUUCUUCUUCACUUUAGUCACAAAUAGUGGCAACAAGUUGUCCACACUCAUUUUUGCCUUCAUGCUCAAGAACACUCGUAGUUGACUAUCUUUCACUAAAACCUCAGGUGGAAACUUAGUGCCUUUCAUGUACAUGUAAAGAACUUCUAACUUCAAUUCAUACACCAAGGGAUCCACCUCCAACUCCUCAUGCAAAACUUCACGCAACUUUUUCGGUGUACAGUCAACGCCCAAUAUCAAUG